AGCAGAGUGGCACAGCGGAAGCGUGCUGGGCCCAUAACCCAGUGGUCGAUGGAUCAAAACCAUCUUCUGCUA
rnacentral:tRNA from 1 species